GACGGAGGAUGCAAGCGUUAUCCGGAAUGAUUGGGCGUAAAGCGUCCGCAGGUGGCAGUUCAAGUCUGCUGUCAAAGACCGGGGCUUAACUUCGGAAAGGCAGUGGAAACUGAACAGCUAGAGUAAGGUAGGGGUAGAGGGAAUUCCUGGUGUAGCGGUGAAAUGCGUAGAGAUCAGGAAGAACACCGGUGGCGAAAGCGCUCUGCUGGACCUUAACUGACACUGAGGGACGAAAGCUAGGGGAGCGAAUGGG
rnacentral:rRNA from 1 species